UGGAAGUUGUACUUGUGUCUUUAGAAAAGACAGCAAAAUAGCAAUUCCCACAGCCAAUGGAAGGGCACCCCUGGACUUCAGGCAGGUGUUGGUGAUGGGCACAACUUCAUUGUGACCUAUCUGCAUGCAAUAUGGCAUCAAUCCUACUUCUGAACUUGAACCUGAAAUUGAACUGGAAGUAGAAUGAAUGUCUCGGAGUCCUGCGGCACAGACCUUGAAAUGGAAAUUUCUACUGCAGAGAAAUGAGGCAUUACAAACCAGGGAACUUGGACAGAUUCACCAGUUCUCAGUUAGGGUUUUCAUAAAAACACAGGAUUUGUCAUUCUGUAUUGGACCAUCAGUCUGUUAAUUUGCUGUACUGCUAAAAGUGGCAACCAAUAAGUGAUGAUUCAGAGAAGGUGAAAACAACCCACAAUUCUUUUGGUCACUUAUGCAAUGCUUCAGAGUCAAAUUUCUUCCUACUCCCUCAUGGAAUUAGCUACUGUUAAUGAUUUUCUCUUUGUGUAAAGCUAGUGAGCACAAGUCCAUUUUAUUGAUCUCCAGAAGAAAGCAAUAAAUCCACUGGAAUGAAAACUAAAUUCCAACAGUUUUUUUGUUCUGUCAACUGGGAAUUACAAGAUUUAGGUUGGAUUCUCAGUUGAUACAAAUCAUAGUGCAUCACUCAAGUCAACAGUCAUCCUAG